rnacentral:sRNA from 1 species
GAAAAAUCCUAGCUCUGCCCUUUCUUGUGUCUAUCAUUUUGCAUUAAGAACUUUACAUUUUACCACGUUUUUUGGGUGGUAUAGACGGAGAGUAAUUGGAGGAAUUUUUAGGGAGAAAGGGGCGGGGAAGUGGAUCACUUGUGGUAUAUGAUGAAUCAAGUUAUCUGUCGUAUGUUUCAUCUUGGCAGGGGACUUCGCCAUGCAUAUUGGGCGGGCACCAAAUUUUUUGCUGUUCUAUAUCAUACUAGAUAAAGUGCUUGCUUUCGUUCUUGGAAGACUAGAUUCAACAUUCAGGCACCAGCAGCGUCAUUCACUGGUGGGCUAGUUGGGGAUUCAUCCCCUUAUGCUGUACUACCUCAGGUAAUUCUCAACGGUCAACUGGAAGGAGGUGCAAUUUAAUAGGAUAACAUUUCAGUUUAUCAAAUCAAAUGGGCAAACAAAACUCCUCGGUUGGAUGGUGCUGCUUGUUGACUGUACUGACAUCAUGUAAUUUUGAAUAGAUGGUAGGUUUAGGCUGUUCUGGUUCUUAUAGUCAGCUCUCUGUAAACCUUAUGCUCUAGAACUAGCAAAGCAAUUUAGUAACUAAAGACUUCCCAAUGCCCAAUUCAGUUGUUUAGCUUCAGCGUAUGGCCAAGCGGAAGGAAGAAAGCUCUUCACCCCCUGUUAGUAUGUUGAGUGCUCUUGAUUGAUGAGAUGAUAUAUUCUAUUUAUCGUAUUCAGAACUAGGUUAUUUUACUUGAGAGAUAUAGUUUUUUAUUUCUUCAUAUUCUUAAAUGUU